AAAAUCAUCAUUUGUGUUCUACUGAAGAAACAAAAUCACCUACAUCUUGGAUGCCCUGGGGGGAACAGAGAGUGAACAUCAGAUCUUUCCCACCAUCCAUCUUGCACCAGUAUGAGGUUUCUUCAAAGACUUCAAAGACCAGCCCAGAACAUGUUCAGAUGAGUGAUCUUCCUAAACCUGGCCAGGCUCAACCAGUCUCAGCUCAACCCUGCCUGACCUUGCAUGCCUUUUUCACACCAGCUGUCAGCGCACACACAAACGCCCUGCCAGCUUGCUAACAGGGAUACCUGCCUGAUCCACAUGGAGAAAAUCCAGUUCUCAAGGAAUACAAUCUUGAGGCAUAAGAAAGAACAGCAUGCAAGGAACAAAGAAAAGAUGAGCCACUCAACUCUAAAAGGUGGAAUUUACACACAAAGGACGGCAGGCUUCUAUCUGCUCAUCUGAGUGGACGCAGCAGUUUUGAAAAGCUCUAACAGGAUUAAAGUGAGGACUGUCGAACCACAGAGCUGCUGUGGUGAAAAACCCUUCCCACAUCUCCCUGAUCACUAUUCUGUUCACUCUCACAAGAACAGUCAGAAAAAAACUUGUUUGGCUUUUACAAAAAAAAAAAAAAAAGUCACAUUACAAGAUACAAAGUUUCAAAUACAAGAAUUUUUUUUUUUUUUACUCUGAGGCCUAAAUGUUAGAAGUCAUGAUACCACAGAAGUAGUAACAGAUCUUUUCUUUAAUAUUGAGGCACGCAUCCAGGUGAAACAAAAUGCAAAGCAGGGACUCUGUUCUGUCCAUUGGUUGUUGAUUAGAUAGUAGUGUUGAGAAGUCUGAUUAAUUUCAGCAAAUUCGUUCUUUCAGAUGGUUUGUUUUCAAAUUUGAUUCAGCGUUCCUAUACUGGUAUGUAUAUUUUUGACAUAUCUCAGUGUCAUGUCAUGAUUAAACUGAAACAUUCAAAUAAAGUCAUGUGUGUGAUCGCAUAUUGCUGAUUAUUACCUUUAAAUCACUUAAUGUAUGUUGUUUAUCACAGCUUCAUUUUGUGAUCCUGCAUGUCGAAUACACUGACACAUAUUGACUAACUUCAUGUAUGAAAGUUCCUACAUUAAUGCAGACAUUGAUGCCAAACGUGUAUUGAAGAAUAAACUAUAAAAAGUAUAAAUUAAUAUUAUAAAUUCCAUGACUUAGCUUAAGAAAUAGCUUAGCUUAAAAAUGUAAUCAGCAUGCACAAUUGCUUACAUUGCUUACAUGCUUACAAACUUACAUAUCUCGACAGAAAGGUUAACAUUAAAGGACACUGACAGCAGCAGGUUUAUUAGGCUGCUGUCACUAAAAGACCAAAUGCACAGAUCUAAUACUGACAAGCAUUUGAUUACUUUCCCAGCUGUUUAUGGUCUCUAAAGACAUAACUGGCUGCAUUUAAGUGAAAUCUUUUAGUUUCUCAGCCUUGUAAAGUUUAAAGUAAAAAUGAUAUAUGUAUGGAUAAACUUGCAUUUAGAAAAGAGUUAGGGUUUUCAUUUCAUCCUGACUUUAAGUCCUCCUGCAAACAAAUCAUAUUAGAACUUCUUCAGAAAUUGACUUUUCUGAGCAAAUUUUAUAAUUAACCAGCUGGACUUUCUAAGCAACUGGCCUUCAAUCCAAUGUCUGAAUAUGACUUUCUUAUUAAGCAAAAAGCAGCACAUCAAAAGAGAAGUAUGUCUGAAUAUGCUGUAUUCAUGUAACCUUCUCCCUUUAAAUACUUUGGUCAGUUCAAGAUUAUUUGAUGGAAUUUUAUGUUAUAUAUUUGAAAGAAUUAAAAGAGCAGUUUCAUGUCUAUCCUUGUACCGUUCAACCGAGGUUUGGCGGUUGAGGUUGAUAUGGGAUUUAGAAAGUAAUUAGUCAUAAGUAAUGCAAUACUUUUUAGAGAAAGUAAUUAUAAUCUAAUUACACUGUUGACAAUGUAAUUAGUAGCUAAUAAUUAAUUACUUUUUUGGAGUAACUAACCCAAAACUGAAAACUGCAAACACAGCAGACACAUGCAUUGUAUGUGUUUGCAUGUGUGUCUGUGAUUAUAUCUGUGUCUGGCUGUGUAUAUUACACAGGUUUAUCUCCCUCUCAUCUUUGAGCCUGUGUUGUAUCAGUGAUGUUUGGCCCAUUUCUGCUCUUCUACAAACACUCUGCGAGAGGGAAACACUGCUGACACAACAGGAUGUGUUAGUAAAAACAGCCACUGGAUCAUCUUUCCACAUAGCCAUGAAUAAGGUAACCAUGCAGAUCUGGGAUUUGCUUACUUCACUAAAAGAUUGGGCAAAAGCAAACUAAAUAUAUAAUAGCAUGAUUUCUAAAUACUUUUUGUCUAGACUUGAUCUUUGAUACAAAAAAGUUAUAAACUGAUGCCUCGUUGAUCCCAUAAGCAUGAGUUUCGCCAUAUGAUACACAAAGGGUUUAAUUGCUUUAAAACUAGACAAAUUGCACAACAACCUACGAAGCAAGUCAGGUCAAGAUUUUUAAAAAGCUCCUUAUAGAGCUGAAAUUCAGCAUUUUCUGCAAUGCUCGCCCUCUGUGUCUUAAAAUAUGAUGUCUUACAUAAAAAAUUACAAUAUAGAUUUUGCAGCCAGCUGGAGCUGGAUUGCUCUGCAGUGAUGAUUGAGCAAUAUAUUUAAUACAAUGGCACACUUGUGUGUGAAAUUGCAUUAUAGUUCAAUAAACAAGAAGUUAAUGUUGACAAACUUAUAUUUCAAACAUAAUAAUGCUUGUUACUUGUUUUUGCUCUGAAAAUAAUUCCAAAUUCUACAGCAAAACUGUUGGACAUGAACACACCAUAGUUGUGUUUAGUUCCUAAAUGAAUCAGUAUUUUCAACAAAUUUGUUGAGUUAAUUAUUCAGUGACUCACUCAAACAACUGAGUUGAAACAGUUAGUAAUUCCAAAGCUACAUAAAAUUUCCAUAAAAAAUAAAAUUACAAACAACAGGACAAAUACAAUAGAAAAAAGAUGCAAAUGAAAUAAACAAUUUAGGGUGUUUUCACACCUGAGCAUUUGUUUCGGAAUCUGGUGCGUUUUCUUCCUUGGCUCGGUUCGUUUAGACAUAUGUGAACAUGGCAAUCGUGCUCUGACCCGCACCAAAACAAUCGCCUUGAGAUUGCCUGAACGAGGUGGUCUCGGCCCAACUGCAAAUGAACUCUAGGUCAGUUCGCUUGUGGUGCAAACAAUCCAAUCCAAAUGACCAACGAACCAAACAAUAUCAUAUUUCAUAACGGGAAAUGUGUUAUAUAAAAUGCAGCAGUGUUUGAUUCUGUGAGUGAGCACGUUAGUUAGGCUACUUCAGUUAAAAUACAAAGAGUUUUUCAACUUAAAAUGUUGUGUAAUCACGCUACUCCAUGCAAGAAUGCUGUCCCGACGAAGCCUUGAUUCCUGCUCUAGCUGCAUUAUAACUUUCAUAUAGUGUUUCCAUGUGUCUUGACACAGUUAGCCUAUUAUACAGCGCUGGGAGAUACAGAGAGAUCGCGCUUGAAUUAGUUCGAAUGUAGUGCAUAAUUUAGUGUUUGCAUGUGUCUCAACAGUUGGUACUAAACAUGCCACAAUAUGCUCAUGAAGCGAACUUGUCAGUCAUUUUAAUGGAUGACGCAGACUAAACUCUGACCAAUAAGGGACAGUUGUACACGCAUGUGACUUGCAUAAACGCAUUUUGGUAUGCUUUGAAAUAUUGCCUUGUGAAAGCAAAGCAAACCAACAAGAAAAUGCAACACUGUAACAACUUAAGUCCCUGUUUCGGAACAAUGCAAUUGAUCUACAGGUGUGAAAACACCUUUAGUCUACUACUAAUGUCUAAUAGCCUACUAUACAGAAAUUGAAUAAAGUAAUCAAAUGAAAAAAUAAAACUCAGGUAUAGUCAUCACAGUAUGAAUCAAAUAUACAAUGAUUCUUAUUAAAGUUACUAAAGUUAUUCAUUGAAGAGCAUGAAUAAUGCUUUCGCUUUCUUUUGUUGUUUGAUUAACAUUAAAGGACACAGACAGCAGCAGGUUUAUUAGGCUGUUGUCACUUUAAGACCAAAUGCACAGAUCUAAUACUGAUAAACAGGGUUUGACAUUAACUUUUUUGCUCACCAGUCACUGUGGCUAGUGGUUUUCCAAAGUUACUAGCCACUCAGCAUUUUUCACUGGCCACAAUUUUGACAUUGAUAC